GACGAACGCUGGCGGCGUGCUUAACACAUGCAAGUCGAACGGAAAGGCCCUGCUUUUGUGGGGUGCUCGAGUGGCGAACGGGUGAGUAACACGUGAGUAACCUGCCCUUGACUUUGGGAUAACUUCAGGAAACUGGGGCUAAUACCGGAUAGGAGCUCCUGCUGCAUGGUGGGGGUUGGAAAGUUUCGGCGGUUGGGGAUGGACUCGCGGCUUAUCAGCUUGUUGGUGGGGUAGUGGCUUACCAAGGCUUUGACGGGUAGCCGGCCUGAGAGGGUGACCGGGCACAUUGGGACUGAGGGACGGCCCAGACUCCUACGGGAGGCAGCGGUGGGAAAUAUUGCACAAUGGGCGGAAGCCUGAUGCAGCAACGCCGCGUGCGGGAUGACGGCCUUCGGGUUGUAAACCGCUUUCGCCUGUGACGAAGCGUGAGUGACGGUAAUGGGUAAAGAAGCACCGGCUAACUACGUG
rnacentral:rRNA from 1 species